rnacentral:rRNA from 1 species
AGCGAACGCUGGCGGCAGGCCUAACACAUGCAAGUCGAACGAAGUCUUCGGACUUAGUGGCGGACGGGUGAGUAACACGUGGGAACGUGCCUUUAGGUUCGGAAUAACUCAGGGAAACUUGUGCUAAUACCGAAUGUGCCCUUGGGGGGCAAGAUUUAUCGCCUUUAGAGCGGCCCGCGUCUGAUUAGCUAGUUGGUGAGGUAAAGGCUCACCAAGGCUACGAUCAGUAGCUGGUCUGGGAGGAUGACCAGCCACAUUGAGACUGAGACACGGUCCAAACUCCUACGGGAGGCAGCAGUGGGGAAUCUUGCGAAAUGGGCGAAAGCCUGACGCAGCCAUGCCGCGUGGAUGAUGAAGGUCUUAGGAUUGUAAAAUCCUUUCACCGGUGAAGAUAAUGACUGUAGCCGGAGAAGAAGCCCCGGCUAACUUCGUGCCAGCCGCCGCGGUAACAC